rnacentral:rRNA from 1 species
GACGAACGCUGGCGGCGUGCCUAAUACAUGCAAGUAGAACGCUGAAGGAGGAGCUUGCUUCUCCGGAUGAGUUGCGAACGGGUGAGUAACGCGUAGGUAACCUGCCUGGUAGCGGGGGAUAACUAUUGGAAACGAUAGCUAAUACCGCAUAACAGUAGAUAUCGCAUGAUAUCUGCUUGAAAGGUGCAAUUGCAUCACUACCAGAUGGACCUGCGUUGUAUUAGCUAGUUGGUGAGGUAACGGCUCACCAAGGCGACGAUACAUAGCCGACCUGAGAGGGUGGUCGGCCACACUGGGACUGAGACACGGCCCAGACUCCUACGGGAGGCAGCAGUAGGGAAUCUUCGGCAAUGGACGGAAGUCUGACCGAGCAACGCCGCGUGAGUGAAGAAGGUUUUCGGAUCGUAAAGCUCUGUUGUAAGAGAAGAACGAGUGUGAGAGUGGAAAGUUCACACUGUGACGGUAUCUUACCAGAAAGGGACGGCUAACUACGUG